AGGCUACAUGAGCAUGGUACACUGGAAAAACACCAAACUGAGACCAGUGAUUGAAAUUUUUUAUUCUGGUUCUACAAAUUGAUGAUAAAAAUCCUUUAACUUUUUUUUGUUGUUUUUAUUGGUAAAACAUGGAAGAUAUAUUUGUAUAAUCUUAGACAAAUUCUUUGAACUUUCUGGACCUUAAUUCAGUUUACAUAGUAGGUGGUGGUAUUAUCUGGAUUAGCAAUGCAGCUUUGAUUUGUGAGAAUUGGUUCCUUUGUGAUAGUAAAGAUGUUUUCUGAUGUCUCCAUUUUAAUAGGCAGGGCUUUGAUCAAUUGGGAAAUAUUAACGGACAGAAAUAAAGUAGAUGAUGGUUCUCUAACUUGCCUACUCUUCAGUAAGCCGGUUUUCACAACUUAAUCUUUACCCUUUGUAAAUGGCAUAUACUGCAGUUGAUCACCUUCUUCUGGUCUACCUUCCUUUUUGAUAAAAGAUAGCAGUUACCUGUUCAGGUCCACCAAUAUAAUUUUUUUUUGUUUGCUUUCAAAGCUACUGUUCUGAACAAGUUGAAAUAACUGUUCUUGCAGUUAUUUGUAGAAAUAUUUUCAGAAAUAAUAAUAUGAAGUAUUGGGAUAAUAGGCUAUUAUAUUCUUUAUUUAAUUUCUACGGAGAAGUCCUAGAGAAUAUAUCUACAGAAAUAGAAACUUUUUUCAUUCAGAUGACUGUAAGGGUGGUACCAGGGUGCUUUGUAACAUUGUUGAUGAAAUUAUUUAUAGGGUCAAAAAGGGUACUUGUGCUAUUGUAAAGAGUGUUGUUGUUCCUCUAAAUAUGAUACUAAUCAGUCUGUGAUAAUGUCCAGUGUAUUUCUGCUUUUCUUACCAGCUCAGCUUUGACUCCUGUGACCCUCUACUCCCUUAUCUUGUUCAUAUCACCAUGCAUGAGUACCUCCACUAGCCUUCUGCAGUUUCUGUAGCUGUUAGCACCUAGAUUCCCAACUUAGGUUUAUGUCAUUAAAUAUAUUACCUAAAGUACACGGAAACCAACAUAUAUACCAGCUCUCAGAGUGAAACUUCUUAACUCUGCCCUAGAACUUAUUUCAGUGUAAUAGCAUGUGGCCUAUACACUUGGCCAUGGGCAGAGUUAUCAGCGAGAAGUUAUUGGGAACUUUCACAGCAAAUCCUAAAAAUAAGUACUUUGUUUUUGUAAUUAGGUCCAUAUCACAUCUAAGCUGACCUUGAGAAUUUUUAGAUGCUGGAUGGUCUGGAGACUUGAGUAAAAAAGGUUUCUGCUACUCUCUGUUGAUGACUCCUCAAUACUGUUCAUUCCUCUUCCAUAGUAUUUGUUUAUCAGCAUACCAACACUUUCAUCAAAAUGUGCUUGGUCUUAAUAGAAUCUUAACAAAAAUAAAUUAACACCUGUGGUUGUCUCUGGUACUCUCUCUGUCGUAACCCAGUUAAUUGAUGCACUUGAAACUUGGGAGCUGAAUUAAAUAACACCUAUUUGAUUUCAGAAUUGUAUUAAUCUUGCCCCAGUGAAUGCCACAGCAGUAAAAAAGGGUACAAAAAUAGAAAUGAUUGAUUUAGCAGAACUGGCAACUGAAACCAAAAACUGAGAAAACUAAAAAUUAGAAGAAAAUUAUUCUGUUAUUUUGAUUUAACAAAUGAUUGAUCUUUACUGUUUUUCAGCAUUCCAUCACUUUUAGUGACUUUUAUACAUAAGGUGCUAAAUCAGAAUGGUUUCACAUUUAUUCAAACACUACAGCUCACUUUCAUUACCCGUGUACUGCAUCAGGUUUUGGGCCUCCAAUCCCAGAGGCAUUUCUUGCUAUAUAAUACUGUGUUUCAGGCACUGUGUCUGAUAAUGAAUAAAACUUCCUGUCCUGAGCUCAGAGGCUUGUGUAGUGGUAAACACAGAGAUGAGUGGUAUUUCAGAGAUGUUUUAAUAAGCCUAGGAUAUUUCUUGAUUGUGGUCGUGGUGGUUGUUUUGAGGGGAAAAAACUCAGCUAAGUACAGUAAAAGUUAAAAUGUGUGGUUAUGGUUUAAAAUUAGUCUUUUAUGUGUUCCUGACAUUCUUAAUGAGAAAUGUUACAUCCAACAAUAGUUGAAAGUAAUUACAUAGUAGGAUCAGUCUUAUUCAUUUGGUAUUUCUAGUGCCUUAUGUAUUACCUGGCACAUGGUAGUGGUUCUAAAUAUGUUUGAUAGAUGAAUGGAUGAGUGAAUAAAAUCCAUCUUUCAUUUUGAAAUUCAAACUUUGAAUUACUUGUGUAUACAAUUUUUGGUCCUUUAAAAAAUACCCGUAUUUAUCAAGAAAGUAAAACUGAAUUACUAUACUCUUCUGUUCCUCUAGUUUUUAUCUUAAAUAAAACAGUGAUAUUCUAUAUAAAACAGUAGAAGAUUAUUAAGUGAUCAUAAAUUUUCUGAAAUGGGUCUUCAGUAGUUCUUUAACUAGGUUCUGGUAAUUUUUAAAUCUUUGUAAUAUAGUAAUAUAAAUGAUUGUGCACUCUAAAUCUGAGCAUAGUACAGUGCUAACUUUCAUGCUUUGAAAUGUUUGGUAUGAUUCAACAUCAACUGUAGAAACCCUACUAAUUUCUAGCUUUGCUUUUGUUGAUCAGCUUUGAUUCUCUCUUAUCCAAAUCCCAUUUUGAGAUAAUUAAGAGAUGAUGACUUAAAAUUUUCUCCAUUUUCUUUUCUUUUUUCUUUUCUUUCUUUGAGAGAGAGAGCAUGAUUAGGGGGAGGGGCAGAAGGAGAGGGAGAAGCAGGUUCCCCACUGAGAAGGGAACCUGAUGCAGGGCUCAAUCCCAGGAUCCCGAGAUCGUGACCUGAGCUGAAGGCAGACGCUUAACCAACUGAGCCACCCAGGUGUCCCCAAAUUUCCUCCAUUUUCAGUGAAUGAGAAUCAUUGGUAUGGUAGAUUGUUCCUCUUUCUUGGAGGCUUAUUAGAAAAUUGAUAUUGGAAUUGAGAGUACAUCCUUUCUCUUACUGGGAGUACACAGUAUCUUUUGCAAACAAGAAUUGACUGUUCAGAGGGUUGUGCAAUAAGAAAAUAUGAGACUUAUGUUUUUGUGCAAUAAUGCUUAGUUGGGAUCUCUUGUCCCUUUUUGAGAUGACCAGAGUACCACACAUGCAAACAGCUGACAUCAGUAAUGUGGAAUUUUCAGAGUUUGGUCUAGUCCUAAUCAUAUUUUACAGAUGAGGGAACACACCGAUAUUGUAAGUGACUUGGCAAAGGCCAUAUAAGUAGUUAGGGGCAGAAUAGGACUUGUUGGUAAUGAUUCUUAUUAUGUUUUACUUGGUUUAUUAAGUAUUUUUCUCAAAAUUUACUUGGCAGUGACCCAUUUAGUUGGGAGAGCUGAUACCAUUAUUGUGCUAGAUGCUGCUGAUGAGAGGGAGGUAUCAAAUGACCUUAAAUAUUUCUACCAAAUCAUGCAUGAUGCGCAUAGCUAGCAGGCUGAAGUGCUGAGCUAAUAACAAGAGCGUGAAACUCAGCAAGUCUGUUGGAGACUGAAUUGGAUGUUGUGAGGAAAUGAUUUCUUUAAAAAAAAGAAAGAAAAAAGAGACCCCUCUGUGUACAGAACAACCAUUGAAACAUUGAACUGUCGUGAUCUAGGCCAAGUAGUGUAUUUGAGCUCUUGCACAUUUUGGCCAUGUCUCUUCAAAUUAGCUAAAUUUAUGUGCCUCUUAGCAGAUUUCCUACUGAAAGUUAAACUUGCCAGUGACAUAACUGGAUUUUUAUGAAUUAGAAAGUACCUGAACUGGUUUUAAAGACUGGGAAAGCAUUUUUUAGGCUACAGAUAAAAGUGAACUUUGCCAUAAUGUUAUGAAGUACAAUUCUUGGCCUGUGGCAAGUGCUCAAAUAUUUGUUGAAUAAAGUUCUGGAGUAAAAACCACAUGUGAAAAUGGUGUUUCUGGUCCUAUCACUGUUUUGAUAUAGUAAUUGUGCAUACUUAUGAUACAGGCAGGGUGAUAAUCUAUUUUUAAAAUAGAUCACAUGUUUGGGGCACCUGGGUGACUUGGUUGAGCGUCCGACUCUUGGUUUCGGCUUGGUUUAUGAUCUCGAGGUGGUGGGAUUGAGCCCCACAUCAGGCUCCACACUGGGCAGAGGAGCCUGCAUGGGAUUCUUUCUCCCUCUCUGGGGGAAAAAAUGUUUGGCAUAAAUUACAAUUCUAUUUACAUAUCCAUUUAUAACCGUCUUCUAAAAAUUCAUCCCUUUCAAGAUAGUCCAUUGAAAAAGUGGUUCAACCCUUAUAUGAAUGUAUGUUUUAAUAAACUCAAGAUAAGGGUCUGCUAACUCACAUUCAAAUUACAUUUGAAUUGUAAGUCUGUGGAUUGAGCUGCCUCUAACAUAUCUGUAAAGAAAUAGGUUUAUUUGAUGUGAGCAGUAAUAAUUUGUCUACCUAUUUCUUUUUCUUCACCUGUAUAAAAUGGAAAGUUGCAACUUUAUGGGCAUUAUUCUUUAGGGCACUUGAAGCAUGAACAUUUUAAGUAACUUUUUUUUUCCCCCAAGGAGAAGGAAGUGACUUCUUGAACUCCCAAGUAGAAGAAUUUUUAUUCAGGCAUUAGCAUUCUAGUAGUAGUCUUGAAAUUGAAGAAACUACUUGUCUUUGACCUCUUUCACAAAGAAGACAAUAAUUUUUUCAGAGACAUUUUAGCAAGAGAAGAAAGGGGAGGCAGAUGUGGCUUUUGAGUUUUGAAUCUUUCAGUCCAUCCACUAGAUGUCUCUCUUUUCUCCCCUCAUCUGUAAAUGACUCUAUUUCAAUUAAAUUUGCUGUUGUCAAAAGCAAGGUGGAUCUGAGUUAUGGAAAUAACACAUAUCAUGUUCCCAUUUAAAGUAUGCCAUUUUCAGCAACAUACCCAUGAUUUCAGUAAAAACAAAGAUGUUCCUUAGGCUGUGACAGUAAUUCAGUGGAAUUUAUUUAUUCAGCAGUAUCAGUUUGGAACCUUUUAUAUGCUAAACACUGUUCAAGGUGUGUGGGGAUAUAAUAGGCAAAACAGACAUGUUUUUGCCUCCUGGAACUUUAAAAGAAUGUUCAAGCCACAGCAAAAUACAUUAAAACUUCAGUAUGAGAACCAUCAUUUAUAUUUUCGUGUUAAGGAAAGCCAGAACAGGUAAGGGAUUGGUUAACAUUUUAAGGUUUUUUUCAUGCUUAAAGUUCAGUUUUUAAUAGUACUUCUCGUGUUCUUCAUGUAGGUUUCUUUAAGGUUAGACUUUGUACAUUUUCUCUUUAGUGAUACGGAUCAUUGAAAAGAUGCAGAGUUGGAUUGCAGAGUCAACAAAGAAAUGGAAGACAGAUUUCCUUCCCUUACUAUUAAGGGAGAGGCAUUGCUGACAUUUGUCAUCACUGCUGCCUCUGAACGUGUCUUAUGUGCCCUGAGAUGAAUGCCCGUUCUCCCACAUGUGGCUGGUCAUCAAGACGUGGAAGAAUGCUUGGUAAGGAAUGUUCUUUAAGAAUGGUUUUCAUUUAGUAGUUUCAAUGUUGACAUGAACUCUGGCUCGCAGUUUGGUGCAAAGCAGAACUGCUUUAUGAAAUGGGAAUUCUGGCAUUCACUAAAUCCUUUUAAGUUUACCCUAGAAUUAUUAAAUGCAUAGAAAGAUUCUAGUGUCAUUUCUUUAGGUCUUGUGAACAACAGCUUUUUGUACUGGUUUUCACUCAUCAGGCCAAUUUAUAAACAACUUGAAGUGUGUUAACAUUUCAUGAUGAGAGGAAGUAGAAAGUGUUCCUAUGACACAAAAGCCCUUUACUUAAGGGGUACUUUGGGGUUGAGAACAGUUCUCCAACUCCAAAUGAUUUCAUUAUGUUCUCUAUAAUGGGUGUGAUUGUUUAAUGAUGACAUAUUUGAACUGAGAUGAUUGAACAGACAUUACUUGAACAAAUAAAAACUUGACAGGCUGUGCCUUUUUAAGCAAUUAUGUAUGCCUUGGGCAGGAUCAGAUAGAAAAGGCUGAUUACUGUCACCAUUCAUAAAAAAGAGCAAAAUCUGAAUGACGCAGAUUUGGAAGUAUACUGUUCAUGUAGCGUAAGGCUAACCCAUGUGCCUAGCUGCUUAUUUCUUUUGCAAGUUCCCUUUAUCGGUACAACUUUGCUGAAUGGAUUCCUGUUGAAAUCCUGUUAAAUGUUUCUUCCAGCUUAGGAAGAAUGGCCUGCCGUCAGUUUUGCAAGUGGGCAGUCUUUCUGUUAUUAAAGAGCUUCCUAGCCUGCCACUUGAUGUCACCUAAUCUUAGUUUUGCUUGGGCCUGAUGUGCCCUCAUUGAUGAAGUUGAAAUAUUGCUAUUUCUUGAUAACCAGAUUAGACCCAGAAAAUAUUUUUGAGCACCCACCACAUCGGAGACAACUGCUAGACCUUGGUGGGGACACAUUACUUUGUAUUUGUAGUCUAGCUUGGAGACAGCUCUGAACGUUACUAACCAAAAUGCAGGACGAUGUGUAUUUUGAGUUGUCAUGGAGGUGACAAAGUAAAAAUUAGCUCAGACUAAGAAAAUAUAAAUCUGUCUUGCCCUGCAUCAGACACAGAUAAAGCCAGCUGCAGUUAACAGGAAAAAAUAUUUUUCCCAAGGAUAUGCUGCAGCUGUAACCUGUCAUAACAACUCCCUUCCAGUAUGUACUGCUUUCUCGCUCAGAGGAACUUUGUUCUCUAAAAUCAGACUAUCAGAAAUUUUUUUAUUUGAAAUGACAUCAGUAAGAAUGAAACAUCCCACUUUUACAUAAUUUACUUUGAUCCAGAGAAGUUGCCUUGGUUUCCAAAGAAGGUGCAGAGCUUCAGAUAAGGGGUUUUGGGACGCAGCACUCCACAUCUAAACUUUAGUUUCCAAGGAUAUGGGCCCCUCGGUCUACUUUGCAGUCCAGAUCUGAUGUCCGGCCCUCUACAUUCAGCCCUGCUUUGCUCUGAGCCAGUCGUCAUGCUAAUUUGUUUUUUUGUUUAUGCUCUACCCCAGAUCUUGUAAUUUCCACCUUUCCUCCGUGUGCUGUGUCCUUCAUAGUAAUGGGUCAAUAAAUUUAACUUUGUCAGACUGUUGAUUUGCUCCUGAGGUCUUAGGCUGAUGGGCUAGGACAGAAGUGCUUUCAAAGUGCAAAGCACAAUAGGAUCCAGAAACCGAUUUUAACUGAGUGUUCAGGAACACUUAAAGAAGGCAGUUGCAUUAAUGAUUUAUUAGGCGUCACUGUUUGUUUAUUUGGUAUUACAGAUUCGAGACCACAUAAACUUUUUUUUUUGACAUAUCCAUUUUUUGAUUUUUUUUCAUUUUGACAGUUCUCAGUCUAGUAUUAAAUAUGUGUGUAUGUGUAUUUAUGUAAGAGGUACAUUACAUAUAGUCCCAUGUUGCAUUUUUUUUUCACUUUUAUGAUUUUAUAUAUAGAUACUUUACUUCCACAAGAGUAGCAUCUUUUCUUGGAGGGUGGAGUCUGGCUGCUUAAAUGUCGCCUUUUUUUUUUUUUUUCUCCAAUAUCUUGGCUGGUGGUGUGCAUACAGUAGAUGUUCAAUAAAUACUUUCCACAUUGAAUCAAGGAAGCUUUGUGUCUUAGCUAUUUCUCUGAUACUUUCCCUAAGUUUGAAACCAGCAGACUGUGGUAUCUUCUUCACAAUUCCACCUCUACCUUACAACGUACAAAUUACCCUUAGGCAAUGAGGCGCUGAGCAAUUGAAGCUUUUUAUAGCUCCAUUUGUCUGCAGUCACCUAAAUGUCAAUGGAUAGAUGUGUUUGUCAUAAUGUGCGGUAAGUGCAAAUAAGCCCCCUGUUAGCAGUAUCAUUAGAGAUAAAAUAGAUGCACAGGAACUCAAAGAGGUGAUCAGCUGUCAGAUUCCACUCUAAGGAAAUAACAGAAUGUCAUUUGCAGUUGAAAAUGUGCAUAACUAAAUGCACAAUUCCUCACCUCAACCUGAUUUGUUUUUCAAACCUUUAUGUAUUUUUGUUCAUCCACCACUUCAGUUGAAGAAGAGUGAACUAAACCAUCAAUUAAAAAUAGCUCAGGAAAACCACUGAAUUUCAGGCUAAGGGAUAUAGACUUUGUUUUUUUUUUCCUGCUCCAAGAUAGAGUCAUUGAAGAUUUUAGUCAGAGGAAAACAUGACCCUGACUGCGAUUUAGGGAAUCUAAUCUGUCAGAAGGGAUAAGAAGAAUUGAGAGAAAUAUUAGAGGUUUUUACAUUUGCAGGAGGUCUUACUCUCAGUUCACCAAGUUUGGUGUGCCAGAAAUGCCCAUUUCUUUAUUUUCUUCAUGUUUAGUUAUCAGUUUCGUUCUGCUGGGCUGAUAGGAAAUUCAGUAUCAGCCACUCUUUGGCACUCCUGCCUUCCCAAGAAGGCUCUGAAAUCUGGAAAGAUUACUACAUGCCCGGUAGGACUGGGUCUAGGUUCCCUAAAGACAUGAGACGGCAGUCUCCUCUGAGUGGUGUUUCCUUCUCGGGGUGCUGCCAUCAGUACUGCUCCCAUCACUGUCUCCCAAUCUCUGACCUCUUUUUAAACUUCAAAUUCAGUGAAAUUUGUAGACCUUCUGUGUAGAGUUGGAAGCAUUUGGAUAAAUGGAAUACCCAUAUAACAUCCCAAUGAAGGUAUAGGACAUUUCUCACUCCAGAAAGUUCCCUCAUGCCCCCUUACCCUGAGCUUGCUACUGUUCUGAGUUCUAUCCCCAUACAUUAGUGUACCUGUUGUAGAAUUUCAUAUAUAUAGAAUCCUAUUCCAGCUUCUUUCCCUCAACAUUUUAUCUGUGAGACUCACCAUAUUGUAUAUGACAAUAGUCAUUCCUUUUUGUUGCUUAGUAUUUUGUUGUUGUGGAAUAGUAUUUCACUUCUUUUUUUUUUUUAAGUCUUCUUUCUUCCUCUUUCCAUAAAAGCGUCUCCUCCUUCUCCUUGUUGCUCUCAAAGGCAUUAAGUAUGUUUUCUCCAAUAAAAGCCAUAAAGGACUUUACUAGAGGCAAGGAUACACGACGUAUUCGGCAUCUUCAUGGGAUAGAGAAGGAAAGGCAACAUGAAAACACACAAAUUGGUAUCUCAACAGAUUAGCCUGGCCCACAGUCAUCCCAGGAAGAGGUGAUGAGGGCCUGAGUUAGAGUGGAACAUGGAAACAGGGUAGAGAAAGCUGGUGCAGGGGCGACACCCAUGGAGGUUGGUACCUAAUCGGGCCUGGAAGGACAAGGCUGAGCAGUUUGGCCUGGGUGGUGACCAACAUGAUCAGGUUGGGAGUAAGGAUGGAUGUUGGUGCCAAUAGCAGAACUAGAAGUAGACCAGGUCUAGGAUGGAAAGUGAUCAGUUAAUUUGGUAACCAUUGAUUUUGGGGGGGGGUAUGGAAGGUAGCACUGGAAAUACCACUGGGUAGGUGAAAGUAGAGAUCUCCAGCUCAAUAGCACCUUCAGAACUGAGGGUGAGGUAAAGAGUUAUACACAAGGAAGUGAAUAUUGAAGUCUUGAAAAAGGAAAGCUAAAGGAGAUAAAUAGUCAAGGACAGAGCUUCGAAGAAUGCCAUGCAGAGGGCUCAAGAAGGAAGAGGAGUCAAAGGAGAAAGGAGGAGUGGCAACAGUAUUAGGAUGAGAAUAGCAGGGUGUGGAGUGGCGUGGGAACUAGGAGAGCAAAGGAUAGGGAGGUAGCCGGCAGAAGUGCCAAAGCUGCAGAGAGCUGACCAAGGUGAAGACAGGAUGACAGGUCUUUAAUUUUCCCAACUGGAAGCUCACUGCUGGCUUUUGAGGGAUCAACUACAGAAGAGAAAUGGGAGUUGAAGCAGGUUGCAAGGAACUAUGGAGUCAGGGGAUACUGAGACAGAGCUAAUAACUGUAAAUAGCUUUUUUUAAAGAAAUGUGCACUUAGAGGAGUCAAGAAAGGGCCCAGGGGUAACAAGAGGAUGGGAGGAAAGGCUGGAGGACAGGCAGCAAGGAUUAUUUCCUUGGGAAGCAUUGAGCAUGCCCGUGGCCUGGGCAAAAGAAGCAGGAGAGAGUGUUUCUGACUCAGCUUUCCAGAAGAGUUGUGAGAGACAGUGGGAUGGAAAGUGGCAGGGGGCAAGUGAAUUGUAAUGACUCAGUCUUCACCUAAAGCAGGGGAGGAGGAGACAGGUGAGCCGUUCCUGGGUGAGGAUGGAGUGAGCAUUCCAGCUGCGGUCGUUUGUUCCCAGCAUGACAUGCUCUUUAAGAGAUUUUCUGUUCUAUUUACUCUGAAUACAUGAAGUUUAUAAAAUGACCCCUUUAGUGUUGAGGAGGUUGGAUUUCAAAGCCGUGCAUAUAGAGGCGGCCUUUUCUGACUGAUCAGGCUAGAUGGCAGAGAUCACUCUCCCAGGAGACAGUCUGUAAUGUCUAUCAUAUGGUGGCAGAUGGCAGCAAGCCCUGGGUUAGGAGCCCAGCUACGAUGUGUUAGCAAGAGACACUGGCCACGUGUCCUUUGAUCAGAUUAAUCGGGGAUGGAACUACCGCAUAAAUAGGUGAGAUUAGCAUUGGCUGGGAGGCUGGCAAGGCGAACUUGGAACAUACUUGACUUUGAAUUCAGAACCACUGCUUAUUUGCAUUCAUUUUCACAAUUCUAUCUGCAGCACAAAAGGGGCUCCCAGAAGAUUGCAUGGGCUUCACAAUGAGCAUGUGGUUUGCUCAGGCUAGGAUGAUUCUGUAACUCUUUGAGUGCACGCCAGUGUACAGCAAGACGGACGGUGUGGCUUUUCACUUGAUUGCCAGGAUCCUGGUGGUGUUCUGGACGGUUGAAGUUGCUAGAAAUCUGGCUACCUCUUAAAAAGGGUGUUAUAUUUUUUGAAACCUCUAGCAAGCGUUCUCAGUAUGGCUACUGUAAAAAGACCAAAUAUACACAGGUUGAAACAUAUGCAAAUACAUUUGUUGACCUUCUAGGCGGAGGACACUGGUCCAAGGUUGCUGCACUCAUUCACGGUUUGGUGGCUUCUUCAUCUGAUAUCCCAGAUUUAUCAUUGAUCCCUCGAGAAAAAAGGGCACCUCCCACCUCCCUUCUCACACCUGUGGAUCUUGAGACUUUGUCAGUUCCUUCUUUUAUUGUGGCCUAACCUCAAACUACUUAUGGUCAGUGCUGUAAAUGGCAACAUACAAAAGAAUAAACUGUGUUUCUGAAAGAU